rnacentral:lncRNA from 1 species
CGGGGCCGGGCGGACUCUAGUCUUGGAGUGGGGUCUCCUUGAGCUGUGUGGGUUUGGAGGCUUGGGGCGACUCGGAGCUUGCGAAGCGGGAGCUAGAAAUCUGACGGUGGAACUCCUUCAGGCUCGGGCUUUCUGGAUGCUGAGAGGGAUUCAGGUGUGAGGCCUGCGCACGAGCAAGGCGGCCAAACCCAUCGGAGUAUGAGCAGGCUUUCCGCUCUCUUUCCUGCAGUGGUGGUGCAGUGGACCGGCUUUUUCUCCCUAGGUCAGGGGCCAGUUGGAUGCUUCCAGAGGGAGCUCGGUGGACUCUGAGGCAGCGAGCACGUGUAAUUCACAUCCGAGUAUUUCUUCGGGGCGGACUAGCAUAUUAACGUUUGCCAACGUUUGCGUCUGUUCUGUCGUUCACUCCUGCUGUCUGUUGUCAGGCUCCAGAUUUAAAAAGUCGGCAAACCCGUGGGAGGCACUAUUAUUUUUCUACUGAUUUGUAGCCUUAAUAGGAAAUAUUGAGAGGAAGCCCUUAGACUGUAUUUAUAUGCAAGAGAAGCAUAUUAUUUUAAGCUUUUAUACAACCCCAAAAGAAUUGCAAUUUUUGAAUGCUUGUGUUGUCCAACAGUCAAAUGUAGCAUUAGAAGGAAACUAGGUGGGUUGGGGAAUGUCGCUCAGCAAUAGAACAUGCUUACUGAACAUAUGCAAGGCUCUGGCGUCGAUUCCUAGCACCAAAAAUAAAGAGCUGAGGCGCUUCUUCCCUUCUUAAUUUUAAAAAUGCUUGAGGACUACCCUACUAUUUGUAUUUUGACUUUGCGGUAAGGAAACAGUGUCUAUAAUUAAAUGUUAAUUAGCAUGUAAGCAGCUGAAGUAAAUACAAACUAAAAACCUA